rnacentral:rRNA from 1 species
GCUACACAUGCAUCGAGCGAGACGCCUUCUGGUGAGUUAGCGGCGGACGGGUGAGUGACGCGUGGGAAUCUACCCAGUAUUGCCGGACAACAGUUGGAAACCACUGCUAAUACCGCAUACACCCUACAGGGUAAAGGGGGCUUCGGCUCUCGCUAUUGGAUGAGCCCGCGUAAGAUUAGCUAGCAGGUGGGGUAAAGGCCCUCCUAGGGGACUAAUCUUAACCUGGCCUGACAGGG